rnacentral:rRNA from 1 species
AACGACUCUCGACAACGGAUAUCUCGGCUCUCGCAUCGAUGAAGAACGUAGCGAAAUGCGAUACUUGGUGUGAAUUGCAGAAUCCCGUGAACCAUCGAGUCUUUGAACGCAAGUUGCGCCCGAAGCCACUAGGCUGAGGGCACGUCUGCUUGGGUGUCACGC